GGAGCAGUGUCCUGAGCAGAGU
rnacentral:misc_RNA from 1 species